rnacentral:rRNA from 1 species
GACGAACGCUGGCGGCGUGCCUAAUACAUGCAAGUCGAACGCAGUGGGGACGGGUGAGUAACACGUGGGUAACCUGAGAUCAGAGGGGAGAACACUUGGAAACAGGGGCUAAACCGAUACGGAUGGAGGGACCCGCGGUGCAGUAGCUAGUGGGUGAGGUAACGGCUCACCAAGGCCACGAUGCAUAGCCGCCCUGAGAGGGUGAUCGGCCACACUGGGACUGAGACACGGCCCAGACUCCUACGGGAGGCAGCAGUAGGGAAUCUUCGGCAAUGGACGAAAGUCUGACCGAGCAACGCCGCGUGAGUGAAGAAGGUUUUCGGAUCGUAAAACUCUGUUGUUAGAGAAGCGGUAUCUAACCAGAAAGCCACGGCUAACUACGUGCCAGCAGCCGCGGUAAUAC